rnacentral:lncRNA from 1 species
GCCACCAGGGGACACAACAAUUAUUCCAUUAAACUGGAAGUUAAAACUGCCACCUGGACACUUUGCGCUCCACCUACCUUUAAGUCAACAAGCUAAGAAGGCAGUUACGGUGUUAGCUGGGGUGAGUGACUCGGACUAUCAAGAUGAAAUCAGUCUACCACUCCACAACAGAGAACAUCCGACUCCAAGUUCUACAGUUUUGGAACUCAGAGUGUCUCUCCUUGCUCCUCAGCCUGCAGAUGGCCUAUUGACGGACCUUGUGAUUGUGGCUCUCUGGUUUUGCAUCUUCCUCAUUUUUCUCUUGCCGCUGCCAUGUAAGAAAUGCCUUUCACCUUCCACCAUGAUUCUGAUGCCUCCCCAGCCAUGUGGAAUUUUUUUAAGAAGCGUUGUUCACAUUUUACCAGGGAGAAGAACACAUUCUUCAAAUGAAAUCCAGAAAGCAAACAUCCAUUGUCAGUAUCAAAGUGCUGAGAAUCUACGGAAUCAAGUGCAUUAAUGGAGGGACAGGAUUUAGGUACUUGCUUAGAUGGAGCAGAUGCAGCCAGACACUCUAUAUAAAGAAUCUCUUUAGGAGAGUUAACAAAUUGGUAGAGUUCAAGCAUCGGCUGAUGAGAAAGUAUAAAGCCCCAAGAUCUGCAGAUUAUAGAGGUAAUUUUUAUCCUAUUUUAAUCCUUAUUCUUCCAUCAGACAUGACCAAAACAAAAUAAAACAAACAAAAAGGGUAGAAAUGGUCCUGAAAAAGCAUCCUCAAGGAGUAGGUCAGAAGGACAGAAACAGCAGACAUGUGAGAGACGCAAAAUCCCCAGGCUGAAACAUUCUCCCCUAUUUCCUGUGUAUAACAAAAGCCUUAAUCUGCUGGAGGAAUCGCAACAAAUACUUUAUGUUACUCGCAACAACCCAUUGCAGUUAGAAGAAGGAAACAGAAAAUCCUCUAGCACAGGAAGAAAAACAGAAAAAAUGCUGGGCCCAGGAGUGGAGCUAGGAAAGGGGAAAGUACACUGAAGCUAUAGUCCAGAGACACAGGGACAAAGCACUUACCUAAAACUGUGGCUAGGAAAGCUAGAGAAUGCACCAGUCUCUGCUACCUAGCACCAGGCUCAAAAGCACAAUGCACUAGGAGCACUCUUGUGAAUAGCCACUACACCACUGCCCACCAGCACUCCAGCCUGGGCAACAAAGAGAUCCCAUCUCUCCCCAUUCCACCCCAGAAAAAGCACUGGAUUCAACAAUCAUGGAACUUUGCAGAAACAUUUUCAAGAAAAUAGAGACAGAUGCACACUGAGGUCUAGAGCAAAGAGGAAGCAUAAAUAUAUAGCAUUAAGAAAGUCCUCUGGCAAACAAGCUCACAUUCUAACAUAAGAUAAUGCUAGAAUAAUUUAAAAUCUGUGCUGCCCCAAGGGUAAAGAGAACAACAAAUAUCAAAUACAAGCCACUUCUUGAAAAAAUUAACUCAAACUACUGCAAUAAAGAGCUAUUAGAAGUAAGGGUGUACUAAUUUUUGGCAUUAAAUGGAUUUACCUUGUUCCGUACUUUCCUACACAGGAUAUCCAGCUUUCAAUAAAAAAUUCCAAGGUAUAUGAGAAGGUAAGAAAGAACAACAUUGUGCUAAGUGACAAAACAAUCACAAAUCAGACUUAAAUAUGACAUAAAUUCUGAAAUUGACCCGAUUGUCCUAUAGAUUGACUGUUUUUUAAAUAUAAACAUAGAAAUUGACCCUUUUGAUCUUAAAAAGCUUGAAAUUUAUAUUUGUUUCAUCUAAGUUUCUUCCUCAGGAAAUGACCUUUAGGCCUCUCACAAAAAAUAUCAAAGAACUGAAACCAGCUCGCCACACCAGGUGUCACCAAAUAUAGGACCACUCAUUCACCAUGAUUCCUUCUGUGCCUCUCCCAAGUUCCUGUUUUCUUACACAUUGUUACAUUUCUUGCCUGCUAUAUAAACCCUUGGUUUUAGUCAGUCAGGGAUAUGGAUUUGAGACGGAGCUCCCAUCUCCUCAGCUGGCAGCGCCCUAUUAAAGCCUUCUUCCUUGGCAAUACUUGGCACCUCAGUGAUUGGCUCUCUGUGCAGCAAGCAGCAGGACUGAGUCCGGAAUCCCUGGUGUUUUAGUAACAAUACUGUAAGUAUAUGGUAAGGAAUUUAAGAUAACGGUGUUAUUUUAAAUCUAACAUUAAAUAUAACGUUAAAAACUCUAAUGAAAAAAGUGGACAAUAAGCAAGAUUAGAUAGGUAAUUUUAUCAGAGAGAUAGUAACUUUAAGAAAAGGAUCAAAUGGAAAUGCUAGACAUGAAACAUAAUAAAAGAGAUGAAACACUUUCAGAGGCUCAUUAGUAAACAAUACAACUGAGAAGACAGUCAUCUAGAAGAUAAAACAACAAACAUUUACCUAAUCAAGAUGGGUAGGGGAUGGGAAGAAAGAGUGAGAGAGAAAUACAUAUAAAAAUAAUUUUUAAAGUUCAAAACAUCAGUGCAUUCCAGAGCUGUGAGAUAAUAUCAAACCAAAUGUUUAUUACCAGGAAAAUUUUGAUGUUCGAAAUUGUGAGAUAUUCAUUCAAGGAAUAUGAUAUGGUAUAAAAUGAACAAAUAAUCAACUUAUUCAACAAGCUGGAUGGAUCUCAAAUUUGAUACAAAAUGAUAUACGACCUUACACAUGUUAGAACGGCUAUUAACAAAAAGAUAAAUGAUAACAAAUAUUGACAAGAAUGUGCUUAAAGGGGAACCUUGUUGCACUGUUGGUGUGAAUGUAAAUUAUUACAGUCAUUUUUAAAAACAGUAUGGAGGGCCCUCAAAAAAUUUUAACUAAAACCACCAUAAGACCCAGUAAUCUCACUUACGGAUAUACAUCCAAAGAAAAUAAAAUCAAUGUGUCAAAGAGAAAUCUUUAUUCCCACAUAUAUUGCCCCAUUAUUCACAGUAGCAAAAAUAUGGAAUCAACCUUUGCCCAUCAACAAAUAAAAGAAUGAUAAAAUGUGGUAUGUAUACACAAUGAAAUACUAUAUAGCCCCAAAAAGAAAAUUCUGUCAUCUGCAACAACAUAGAUGAACCUGGAGGACAUUAUUCUAAGUAAAAUAAGGUCAGCACAAUAAGACAAAUACUGCUUGAUCUCACUUAUAUGUGACAUGUAAAAUUUGAACCUAUAGAAGCAGAGAAUAGAAUGGUGUUUACAGAGGCUGGAGGGAGGUGUGGGAUAGAGAAAGGAGAAAUGUUGCUGAAAGGGUACAAAGCUCCAGUGACACAGGAGGAAGAAGUUUUAGGGAUGUAUUCCUCAACAUGGUGAGCAUAGUUAAUAAUAUCAUAUAUUUCAAAAUUACUGAAAGAGUAGAUUUUGAGGAUUUCCACCAACAAAAAAAUGUAUUUAGGUGAGGUUAUAAAUAUAUUCAUUAUAUUGACUUAAUUUUUCUACAAUAUGUGUAUGUGUGUAUGUAUGUAUAUUUCAAAACCUCACAUUGUAGCCCAUAAAUAUAUACCAUUGUUAUAUGUAUCAAAACAUCACACUGUACUUCACAUACAAUUAUUUGUCAAUGAAAAAUUUUAAAUAUAUAUUUAUCUUCAGUUAAAGAAGUCAGAACUAUGCCUUUGUAUUCCUAAACUUAUCUUUAAAUAUAUUUUAAUUUUAUUAAAUAACAUGAAAAAUGCAUGAUAAAUCUGAGAUUGAUAAAAAAUUUAUAGUUCAAACUUCCUGCUUAAUAUGUUAUUCAUAGUAAUAAUAAUAAUGAUACUAAAUAAAAUUCUUACAUAAUUCUAAGUAUAGUGAUUCUUCCAAGGUACAAAGGGAAUUACAAAAGAAAUUUUGUGGUUUAUUUGGCUAUUUAUUUGUUAUUUCUUGAGUUUUUGGUAUGUGGCAGGGAUCAAGCCAGUUGUAUGAACGUUGUGGUAAACUGACAUAUGUCAUUAUACAGAGACCAGCCAGGAAAGUUCGAGUGGCUUAAAAUCUAGUGACAGAAAUUUGUGUUCAAAUACUAAGAAAAUACAUGAUAAUUGGUAUUACAUGUUGCAAAUGAAGAAAAUAUCAUGUGCUGAAUUGUAGAUAAGUACAGCGAGACGGGAUAUUUGCAAGCUUGAAGAAACCUUGAGUAAUAUGAAAUCUAUGGUGUUCUUUGAAAGGUGUAUAAGGUAAAAUGCUUGGUUGAAAAGAUAAUAGGAAUAGAAGCUUUAUAAUGUAACAAAUGUACGCAUUGAAUACACAGAGAAAUAAUUUGCUGCAGGAGAGAUGUCUUGUUGUAGUUGAAAAUAAAUUAUAGAAAAUAGAAUUAGCUAUAGAGAAAACUGUAAAGCUAGUAAAACUGUUUGAACUUAAUAUUUUGUAGAGCCAAUUUUUGGACAGAUAAUCAGAGGAAUUAUUAACUUAAAUAAAGCUACUACAAGAUAUGCAUAUUAGACUGAAGAAAAGAGACCUACAGGGGAACACUUUAGGUAGUGGGCAAAUUGCAGUAUCUAAAAAAAAUCAUUGUGAAUACACACCCACCAGAAUGGUGGCAUAAAAUAGAUUGUCUCUUUAAUUAUUUUGGGGAAAUCAAUUUAUUUACAUGUAUGAUAAAUUAACUAUAGCAAAUAAUAUUUUCUUUUAUGGCUAUAGACAAAAAAUUGCCUAUAGAUUUGGAUACACUUACCAUAUUGCCAACAGUAAACACUGAGUAAUCUGGUCUCAUGCCUCUUUUUAUAGAUUACCUUCAUUUUGAAUACAAAGCUUAUCCACAAUCUACCGAUUGUUUAAUGAGGACAUAGUUUUACUAACCCUCAAAUAUUCCCUAAAAUGUUAAUUUUAUAAAAAUUAAUAUUGACAAAGCAAAAGAUUACAGGAGAAAAAAUAACUCAUAUAUCUAUAUUCUCUCCCAAAGUUUGCUUUAUUCAUAAUGAUGUAUACAAUGUUAAAGUUUCUAGAUUGGCCCUUUAAUAUCAUCUUUCUUAAUUUUGAACAGUGACCAAUAGAUACAUUUGAAUACAGAAACAGCUAAAAUUUGACAUAAAGAUAAAACAAGAGCAUAUAUAUUAAUAUCAAAAUCUAACAAAGAUGUCUUAACAUUUUUUAUUUUUCAUAUAGGUUUUAUUCUUAGUUAUCUGAUUGCACUUUUAGUGAAACAUCUGUUUAACGUGAAAUCCAUUUAAGAUACUGGCAUACACAGGACGAUUUUAAUAAAAUCUAUUAGUACUCAGCAACAUGGAAGGUAUUAAAUUUUACUGUGUUACGUGAGACAAGCCAGGCACAGAAGGACAAAUAUUGCCUGUUCGUGCUCACAUGAGGGAGCUAAAAAAGUGAAUCUCCUGGAGGUAGAGAAGAAGGGUGGUUAGUAGAGGCUGGGAAGGGAAGGAAGGAAGGAGGAUGAAGAGAAGUUGGUUAAGAGGUACAAAAAUACAGUCAAAUAGAAAGCUAUAGUAUUUGAUAAUAUAUACUAUCUAAUAGAUCUUAUCUAAUAGAUUAAGUUACAGUAUUUGAUAGUACAGAAAAGAAAUUGUAGCUAACAAUAAUUUAUUGUAUAUUUUGAAACAGCUAGAAGAAGAUCUAUAAUGUUCCCAACACAAAGAAAAGAUACAUGUUUGUGGUUAUAGAUAUCCCAAUUGUCCUGAUUUGAUCAUUACACAAUGUAUAUGGGUAUCAAAAUAUCACAUGUACCUCCAAAAUAUGUACAAUUAUUAUAUAUGUACAAUUAUACUAUUAUAUAUUAUAUAUGUACAAUUAUAUGUACAAAUAUAUGUACCUCCAAAAUAUGUGCAAUUAUUAUAUAUUAUUUAAAAUUUUUGACAGUUUAUCACCAAAUGUUAUCCAAUUUGACAGAUAUUUCCCAGUUGUAUAAUAGACUACAUUCUAGACAUAAAUUUCCACUUACUGUCCUAAAUUUUUAAAGAUAAUUAGAUAUUUACUGAAAACCUCAUUUUCCGGCUGGGUUCUCUAUACUACUUUUUACAGCCUCAGGUUGAAUACCAUUUACUUGAACCAUGUGUGCUUGCUUAACUACUUCAAACAAUAAAAUGGUGUAAAGAAGACUGAUCCAUAAUUUUUCAUUCUAGUGAAACAUUUCCAAGUGUCAAAUUUAAAGAAGAAAACAAUCACCUGUUAAAUUGUAGAACUAACUUUUGAAAAACAUCAUAGAAAACUAUGGCCACAAGCAAAGCACUGUGCCCUGUAGUCCUGUUGACAAUAGCUAUUAAAUCAAGACUAUUCGAUCACUGAAUAUUUAAUUUGCCUUGGGAGGAUAUUUGACUUUAUGUGUUUAAAUUUUGAUUUGAAUUUGUUACACAAAAAUUUUCUUGGGUGAUUCUGAGAACAGUUUCAAUAAUCUAAAAUAGACAUAGAAUUUUAUGGUAUUUUAAUUGUAAUUAUAAUAAUUUUAAAAUGCAAGACAGGAUAUACACAGAUAUUUAUUCAUGUAAUAUAUUAAGGCCUACUGAAAUAUGAAUGAAGGUAAAAUCUUUCAACAAACAUGCCAAUGUUAGCGUUGGCAUAGUGUUAUGAAUUCAUCACUUUAUUUUUUUGACAGCAUUAUAAACUUCUCUUUUUAGUGUUAUUUUGUAUGAAAUAUCUUAACAUAUCUGCAAACAAUAAGAGGAAUAAGCUCACAUUUCCUAGUAAUAUACAUAUACUGAUACCCCUUUGUAUGUGGCCAUUAAAAAUGUAAGUUAGCCUUUUCUUCCUGCAUCUUGCAGCAAUCUAACAGAAUAAUUUUAAACAAGGAGUUUCCUUAUUCCCUUGUCAGAAAUUAGAAGUAAUCAAUUCAAGGCUGGUAUAGUGGCUUCUCUGACCCCAUGUCUGUUCUCUAGUCGUAUAUUUCAUAUAGCUCUGUUUCUCUGUCACUCAUCAUAUGUAUGUUAGUUUCUUCAAGCUCACGAGAUAACUGCUGUGUUUUAGUCACCAUGCCCUCAUGAUCAGCAAAUAGAAAGGAGGAGGAGCAAAAAGCCAACGACACAAUGUAUAUUCCAAUCGUCUUUCAUGAAAAAAAAAAAAAAGAUUUUUGGUAGUAUAUCCAGUAAUCUUCCAUUCACGUGGUAUUGUUGGAACUUCCAUGAACAAAAUUCCUGCUCCGUUUACGAGGGAAAAGUAGAGACUGGAUAUUGUCUAGGCAGUGUUUCUCAUAACGUUCCAAGUAGUAAAAUAAUGAAGUUUCCCUCUACCUUCUCUUCCUAGGAAAUACAUCAUUGUAAUAAUAGUCGUUAGAAUUUUAAAUAUAAGAUAUAAAAAACUGGGUACGUGUCUGGUCAGCCUUUGAAUUAGAUCAUGUGCUAAUUAUAGCAAUAUUGGACACUAGGCACAUUUCCACUGUAAUUUUUUAGGGAGAGAUACUGAAGUUUAUGCUAUAUAUCAGCAAUGAAAUAAUUUGUAAGCUAUGUUUCUGAUACUUCAUUAUUGGUAUAAUAUAGGAUUACAGGUGCUAUGACUGCCAAAUAUCUGCCCCAUUUUAGUUUUUCUUUCCUUCACUGAUGUCACGUGCAAUAUACUCAUUUCAUAAAUUUCCUCUAUGUACUGCCUCUUGGUGAAUUCAGUGUGUUUCCUUAUUAUUAUUUUUUCUAAUUAAGGACAUAUGUCCCUAAAACUUGAGUUAGAAAUAUCUUCCAAAUAAUUAGAUCUUCCCUCAAGAAAUAACAAAAAUAAAGCCAAAAUACAUUUUUCAAAAUUUCCAGCAAUUUUUUCUCUGUAUGUUAGAUGAGAAGAUGAAGACAUACAUUAAUGGCUCUUUGUAAUUGAACUUCCAUGUAAAUUGAGUCUAAAUCUAUAUUAGCUAUAUUUUUUCCUAAUGAAUUGGUAAUUAUUGUGAUUAUUCCUGGAACUGUGAUUGUUUGACUUAAUAGCUAUAUUUAUAAUUUUUUUUGUAGAAGGCCCUUUUAUGGUGUACACUUUUUUUCCUGGGAAGUUAUUUGUCUUCCAAAAUCACAUAUGGAUUCAUCUGACAUUCUAAUGACUGUAUCCACCAAAAUAUAACAUCUUAUGAUAGUAAUUUUAUCUCUCAGUAUUUCAGGUAUACCUGAAUUGGUUAAUGAGUCUGACUUUGACAUGUUGGUAUUUGCAGUGAGUAAAGGUAUUAGACUUUCAAUAGUGACAAUACCAAAGGUGAAUACCUAUUAUGAUCAAGAUAAAAUUAAAAAAGGCUUUCUGUGGUGGAAGGUCUAGGAUGGCCAUGUUUUAUUUGAAGUACCCUAUCUUAGGUCCUUCUUGGGAUCUUACUCUUCCUGGGAUCUCACAUGUGGCAAAUUUAACUUUGGAAUACUUACUUUCUGUUACUCUAUUCCAUUCCAGUAUCUAUAGAAUUAUCCUUAUUAAUUGACUCAUUUUUGUUGUAUUCCUUUUAUGUCUUUGUUUGUUCCUUAAACCUGUUGACUACAAAAUAGUGAGUCACCAGUAGAUCCUUUGGGUUUUUUUUGUUAAAACCUGAGGCUUUACCUAGAAAAAUUUAAUGGCCAGGGAUCUGGAUUAGUUGCAUCCAAUUUUUAAGCCAUAAUCUAUAGUCUCCUAGUGGUCCAAAUGGGAUUUUGUUAAAAAAUAUACAACUUCAAACAUCAUCCAUAACCUAUUGAAUCUGGAUAUUUUGAGAGAUCCCUGGGUAAUUCUAAGUAAAUUAAAAUUUAGGAAGCACUGUACUCAAAAGUCCUUCCAACGUGCACUCUAAGCGGAAACAUAUUUCUCUUCUUGUUAAUGAGCAAUAGCACAUUUAUAAAUUUCAUUAAUUCUCCAGCAUGAAAGUUCCUCAUUUAGGGUAAUUAGGAAGUAUAACAGAUUGAUAAUAGUUUUGGUGGUUCCGAGUUUAUAAUGAAGCCACCAUUGACAAUCUCUUGUAGAUGACAUUUCUCAAAUCACUAGUUUUGCACUAUUUUAGUGGUACAUGGGAAGAACUAAUAACAUUCCCUCACUAAAGUCAGUCAAGCAGGUAUCACAUAUUUCUGAUAACACAUAGAAUUCAACAAUUAUUCCAGCAUUGUUAUAAUUGUAAAUUUCCCAACAGCAGUCACCAAAUCCCUGGGUUAUCUCAUGACUUAAUGGAGUAGCACCCAGAACUCUAUUUUACCAAUUGUAUAUACUAUUGAUCAUGUUUCUCUAUCAAGACAUGACUUUAAUUUAUGAAGAAACUGAGUAUCCAUGGAAGAUGAGUUUACUCAUCAUAUUCCCAGUAACAAACUUCAGCCACCUGUUUCUUAGACUGUCAAUUUACUGAAUGCUCAUAAAAUGCAUUGAUUGUUUUCUCAGUUUGAUAUAUUCAAUUUCUACCUCCCCAUAUUCCAUAAAUUAUAUUCUUAAUAUCAUUUCUCCUUGGUUUGAGAAGUUACUGAAUGUAUGAUAAUAUCAUUUGUCAAAUCAUUUGUUGUCAUGCAUCCAAAAGUCAGAGUGCAUUGGGAAAGACUUCUGGCUAAAUUCUGAUCAGUACAAUCCAAUAAAAAUAUAAUUAAACCAAAAAAGUAAUUUUAAAUUUGCGAGCAGCUAUAUGAAAAAGUUAAAAAGAAAUAUGUGAAAUUAAUUUAUGUAAUUUGUUUCAUGGAAUCUCAUAUACCCAAAAUAUAAUAUUUUAGCAUGUAAUCACUAUAAAAUUAUGAAUAUAGCUUUUGUACCUUUUUUGAUCUUCAAAUUUCAGUGUUUAUUUUACACAUAAGCAUGGCUCAUUCAGACUAGUCACAUUUCAAAUAUCCGAUAUCCGUAUAUAGUUGGUGCUUAACAUAUUGGAUACUACAGGUCUUGAUUAAUAAUAAAAUUCUAGUUGAUUAUAACAUGUUAGUCCCAAUAUUCAAGAUGAAAUGCUCUAAAAUGUUACUCCUUUGAUGUAAGGUAUGAAACAUUCAUCAGUAACAUAUGAAAUUAAACAAAAUUUGAAAUGCCACCAAAAGCCUAGACAACUAUUGCAGAUCAUUAGUGUGUUGAGUUUUAGAAGAAUGACAGGCACAGAGAGAAUCGGGUUGCCAUCUAGUCUUCUUUCAUAAAAUUCCUCUCUAGUCUCUUCUUCUCCUUGUAGAGUUUUACAUCCAUGAGAGCUGAACACACAAACACAUACCCUUCUUUCAUUCCACAGAGUACUUUAAACACCACUCUUUUUUUCUUAUUAUCUUUCUCUGGCUCUGGGUGCAAGCUGCUCUCACAGAAACAUCUUCUGAAAGUUCACACUUUUAAUGGGAUGAUACCAUCCAUGAAAAACCUGCUGGGAAUUCAACCGAUUUCUUGUUAUUUCUUUUUUUGCCUACUUUUGUCAUAAGUUUUAGUGAAGAAAAACUUCAAUUAACAUGGCAUUUUAGAAAAACUUCUCAAGUAACUGUUUCCUUUUAUGAGAUAUCUUAGUUAUUUCCUCAGCUUAAUUUAAUAAUAACAUUAAAAAUUUUAAUGAGAUAAUUGUCUUUAAAAAUAACUAUUCUAGGUUUUUGAGAGCAACAAUACUACAUUUGAAAAUAUGGUCCAGUCCAGAUAUGUUUCAUAGUGAAUUAAAAUUAUUGCCUUGUUAUUACUAUAAAGUUUAAAGAUCUUGACAUACAUUUUGCUAUUUUAAUCAUAUUACUAGGGUUUCUUGCUAAUGAAAAUCAAAAUGAAAUCACAUUCUAUAGUUCUCUGGGAAGCAGAUUUUUACAAUGUCAAAAUUGCAUAGCCUUAAACUUCUGUGUUUAACUCCUUUCUCCAAAAAGUGGAAUAUUUUUUUCAUACCAUAGGCUUCACCUAACACACAAUAACUUGUUUUCAAUUUAGGAGCAAUAUCAAUAAAGUUAUUUUUAAAAAUCUUAAAUCUAAAUAAUUAAAAAAUCUAACUAAAGCAAAUAAUAUUAAAAUAUAUCUGGAGCUUCUAUUCUCCUUACAUUAGCAUUUCUUCUUAGUUGGUCAGAGUUAAUUCAGUGAUCCAGGUGCUCAAAUCAAUUCACAACACAACUUACUAAGAUUCAUCUUCAGUCCAGAAAAGAGAAUGAGGGUACAAAAUUUAUACCCUUUGUAAAUUCUAUGUACUCACCUUUGCCUACCUCAAAUGGUAUUUUGUGCUUUUCAAUAUUUAUUAUGUUUUCAUUGGGUGUGAAUACUCAAUAACUAAAGAAUAAAUGACUUCCCCAAAACAUGUAUGCAUCCAUAAAACAUACAGAAAUAAACACUCAUUAUAGCUCAUUGAAGCAGUCUUACAUCUUUAUCUUGCUUACCUCUAGAAAGUAAGAUAAGAUAAUAUCCCCAAGUCUGUUGGAAAUGAAUGUAUUCAGGAAACACACACAAAAGAAGAUAAGUUCUUCACAGUGAUGUUCUAUCUUCAUACUGAGGCACAUUAAAAAUAUGGUUACUCACUACUUGAAAAUUGAUGGUUUUGAUUAAUGUAACUCGAGACAAAAUUUUUAAUUCUUCGAUUCACAGUUACUAAAAAGUUCAUUUUUUCACUUUUGAAAUUUAAUUUAGCUCACAAAGCAUGACUAGUAGUAUCAAAUUAAGAUACUAUAGAUGGGAGUGGAUGAAAGAUAAUUAUAUGUUAAAAUUUGAGAAAUGACAACAAACUAUUAUACAAAUUUUGAAAAUUGUUAAAUCAUAUUGGAUUUGUAAUCAAAACAGCAUAGUUUUAAAGCAUUGACUAAGGGAACAUUACAGGUCAUGAGUCUGAAUGAACAUAAUAAAAAGGGCAAAAAUUCUUGAUGACUUGGAAUUAGUAAAUUUGUAGAAGGUGAUUUGUUUUACAUCUUACGAGUAAGCAUUAUUGUUCUCAUUACAUAGAGAAGGAAACAGUAUCAGAAUCAUUAAAAAUAUGUGCAUUCACAUUGCUAGUAGCACAAUAAGUUCAAUGACUUAUUGAUUGUGCUUGUAUUCUUACUAAGGUAUAUGGGAGUAAACUGCUCUACUGAAUUCUGUAGUGAAUUAGCUAUGAAUUUUUUGGAAAAAAAAAUUUCACAUAUAGAAGCUCAUACUAUACCAAUAAUGAAACUCAGACUAGAAAUAUAAAGAGGGACAAGACCACGUCCUAGUUCAGGAGGCAUAGAAAGUUUGUAGACAACUAUGAUUAGAUAUGACUUGUUCUAAGCUUGAGUAAAUAUAGAGACCUAAAUGUCUUCAACCUUAUUCAACCUAUUUCUUGUUAUUUCUUUUUUUGCCUACUUUUGUCAUAAGUUUUAGUGAAGAAAACUUCAAUUAACAUGGCAUUUUAGAAAAACUUCUCAAGUAACUGUUUCCUUUUAUGAGAUAUCUUAGUUGUUUCCUCAGCUUAAUUUAACAAAGUAUAAUAACAUUAAAAAUUUUAAUGAAGGGGGAGAGAGUGGUUGGUCUGGAAAAAAUUAUCUGAAGUUAACAUUUCUCAGCUUUGAGUUGGCAGGAUGUUUCAAGAUCGUAAGGCAAAAAAAGGUUAAAAGUUCUUUUGGUGGCAGCAGCCCAUCUGGAGCAGCUGCUCUGGGGAAGCCAGCUGUGGCGAGGGAGGUGCCACUGGGGCUGCAUGCUCUGAGGAGCCGGCAGAGGCCAGGAACAGGUGGGAGUCCCACACUCCUGGGUGUAGCUGCAGCCACCCAGCCGCGGCUCCAGACCUGGGCAUCCAGGUGCACUUGGGGCCCAGGAAAUCCCCUGCCACUGCAGGCUUGAAAGUGCCAAUUCUGCUCCCUGGCCUCUCCUCAAUCCUGGUGCCUGCUGUGGGGCAGAGCAAAGUUGUGGCCGAGCCCAGGCACUGUUGCAACCCAGCCGGGUUUGCGCACACUCAGUGCAGUGCUGACACAUUGGCCUCGGGCCACCUCAGCCCCCUCCGGACUUUGGGCACCAAUGAGCAUGCAAGGGGGUCCAGGGGGACUGAGGGAGGUUCAGGGCGGACCCGUGGGUACCUCUCAGCACUGACAGCCUGGGAUCUAUGGAUGGCAUGUAAAAGGCAGACAGGCUCCUAGGUGGGAAGUGGUGGGUCCCCAGUGAAACCCCACCUUCAGGCCAGGGCCGGCCUGAAGGCUGGGGACUGGGCUGCCAGUUCCAGGUGAAGUCUGCAGCCAGGAGUGAGAACUUCAUUGAUGACCAUUUGGCCAAUUGGAUGGUCCUUUUUCCAGGAACACCUGUGGCCAGUCAUGGACCAAUCAGCAUGCACUUUCUCCAUUCUGAGGACAUAAAAACUGCAGACUCGGCCAGAUUUACACACUUGCUGGGAAGACCUGCCUAUAAAAGGAAGUACCCACUAUGGGUCUCCUCUCCACUGAGAGCUGGACACUCAUCGAGAUGACCUGCAUGCAGAAAGGAGCUACCGGCUAUGGGUUUCCUAUCUGCUGAGAGCUGGACACUCAUUGAGAUGACUUUCCUGUGGGAAGGAGCUACCCACUACGGGUCUCCUGAGAGCUUUUCUGUCACUCAGUGAAGCUCCUCUCUGCCUUGCUCACCCUCCAGUUGUCUGCACACUUCAUUCUUUCCGAAUGUAGGACAAGAAGUCAGGACCCACCAAAUGCAGGACUGAAAAAGCUGUAACACAAACAGGGCCACAAUAUACCCCCCAUUCACCACGUUGCAGGCAACAAGAAGGAGAGAAGAGCUGUGGCCCUUUGGGGAGCCCAGACCUAGGGGCUCCCCAAGCCAGGACUGUGACACCCUCUUUGGGGCUCUCUGAGGGUUCCUGGCAUCUCCAAUCAUCCGGCUGCCACCACGUUCCCCUUGUCCAGAUGUGGGUGCCCCUAGCAGAAUCCAUUUGUGGUACAUCUGAUCCAGCCACAGCCUUUCACGGAGCCAGCACCUGAGCCAGUGCCUGGAGCUGCCCGCUCUGCUGCAGCAGCCAGUGUGCCUGGCUGUGUGCAGUGGAAAAACGCCAUGCUCGCUAGCCCACACGCCCCUUGCUGCUGCCCACCUGGCUCACCGUUGGCAGGUGUGGGAUCCAGGCUGGUAGCAUGAGUCGAGUGCAGUCUGCCAAGCCAAGUGGGCAGAAUGAGCCCAGCGGGCCUAAGCAAAACUAGGGCAAAGAUGCCACCAGCCACAGAGGUUUCCGAAUGGAAAUGUGACACCCUAAGGAUCCUGUGACUACAAGUAGGUUAAAAGGCUGGAACAGUCUGUGGAAAGUAACUAGUAACAGGCUGGGCACAGUGGCUCACGCCUGUAAUCCCAGCACUUUGGGAGGCCGAGGCAGGCAGAUCACUAGGUUAGGAGUUUGAGACCAGCCUGGCCAACAUGGUGAAAUCCUGUAUCUACUAAAAAUACAAAAAUUAGACGGGUGUGGUGGUGCGUGCAUGUAGUCUCAGCUACUCAGGAGGCUGAGGCAGGAGAAUUGCUUGAACCUGGGAGGUGGAGGUUGAAGUGAGCUGAGAUCCUGCCACUGCACUCCAGCCUGGGUGACAGAGACUUUGUCUCAAAAAAAAAAAAAAAGAAAGAAAGAAAGUAACUAGUUACAGAAGAAGAGACAUGAUAGAUAUGCAAAAAAAAAAAAAAAAAAAAAAGAUAAUGCACCACUAUGUGCUGAUAAAUAAAAGAUUAAAAGGAACAAGUAUGUAAUUUUCCCAAUAGAAAAUAAUUACCAUAUGAUAAAUAGAAUAUUGCUUAAGUAUUUUUUCUACAGAAGUACGCUUAAUAAUGUCCUUCCUUCUAGCCUGUCAGUAAACUAACUUAUUCUAGAGGAAUAUAAUAUGCCUUAUUCUUUCUGGAGUUCUGUUAUCCACAUCAAGAUUAUCUCAUUGUUUUUCUUUAUAUAUUUCUCAGAAAUUAUAUAUUUUUAUUCAAGAGAUAGGGAUAUUCAACAGCUCUUAAAUAAAAAUAAAUCCUGAGUAACUUAUCUUUAUAACUCCCAGAAGAAAAUAUUGAAAGUAGUCACUGUAUGCAUGGAUUUACUUUUUUUCAUUACAUAAUUAUCUGCAAUAUACAAUUAUAUCCUAUUUAAUGAUGUUAUCUUAUAAAUAAUUGUAUUUUUUAACAACUUUAUACCAAAACUAAAAUAUUUUGAGACAAAAUAAAGAGAAGACAAGAUAAAUAGUUAAAAAUUAAAAUGGUCUCAAAUAGAGAUUUCCAAACAAAUACAUAAAUGGUCAGCAGUUGCUUAUGUCUCCAUUCUGAAGACAUAAAAACUGCAGACUCAGCCAGAUUUACGCAGUUGUUGGGACAACCUGCUUGUAAAAGGAGCUACCCACUAUGGGUUUCCUAUCUGCUGAGAGUCGGACACUCAUUGGAAUGACCUGCCUGCAGAAAGGAGCUACCCACUAUAAUCAGGGAAAUGCAAGUCAAAAGCACAGUAAGACACCUCACACCUGUUAGGAUGGCUAAAAAACACAAAAGUUAAAUUUUGGAGAAAAUGUGAACAAAAGGGAACCCUUGUACAGUGUUGGUGGGAAUGUAAAUUGGUACUCCCAUUAUGAAAAAUUAUAUAUGGAGGUUCCUCAAAACAUUAAAAAUAGAACUACCAUAUAAUCCAGCAAUCUUAUUUCACAUCUGGGUAUAUAUUCAAGGGAAACAAAAUCAUUAUCUUGAUGAAAUAUUUGCAUUUUCAUGUUCAUCACAAAAUUAUUCACAACAGUUAGGAUCUGGAAACAGCCAAAGUAUCCAUUGAGAAGUAAAUAGAUAAAGAAAUGGUGGCAUAUAGAAAUAUUAUGCAACCAUGUAAUGAUAAGGAAAUUCUAGAAUUUACAACAUGAACGAAGCUGGAGGGCAUUAUGCCAAAUAAAAUAAGCCAAUCACAGAAGGAUAAAAAAUACAGUAUGGUAUCACUUACAGGUGAAAUCCGAAACAACAAAAAAAGUUACAUUCAUUGGAACAUAGUAUAGAAUUGUAGUUACCAGGAACUGAAGUGGGGGAAUGGAGAGAUGUUGGUCAUAGGGUACAAAAUUUCAGUUAUAAGAUGAAUAAGUUCUGCAGACUGGAUGCACACCAUGUCGUGACUAUAGUUGACAGUACUGUAUUGCUUAUUUGAAUUUUCAUAAAGAAGCAGAUCUUAAGCAAUCUCACCAAAACUUUUUAGAAAGUAGCUAUGUGAGGUGUUGUUAUGUUAAUGAACUUUAUUAUGGUAAUCAUUUCAUAAUGUGUAUGUAUAUCAAGUCAUUACAUUAUACACAUUAAGUAUAUUCAAUUUUAUGUGUCAAUUAUAUUACAAUAAUGGUGAUUUUUUAAUGGCUUGCCUGCAGAAUGCCACCAUAUUCAUUAAGAUUUUCUUUUAUACUGUUUAUCCUAAGAGUACAGCAACAAAACUGUGGCUUUAAAAACUCAAAGGGAUGUAAUUAAACAAUUUACUAUGUUUAGUUUAUUAAAUUUUAUAAACUGCGUUAGACAAAAAGAUUUAUGCACUUAAUCACAUUUACAUUAAUCUAUAGUAAAGUUCAAAAACAGAAAAUCAAGCCUGGAAUAAUUUCCUGUAUUUCCUGCUGGAUCUGCCAGACUAGUGGAGGAUAAUACAAUUAGAACAUUUACAGAAGUCAUCGUGAAUGUUACUGUUAUUGAAGUUGAUAAAUGAAGUUUUCAUUUCGAUUAAGAAACAUGUAAGAGAUAUGAGUGUGAUAUUUGUUGUUUUUUAUGGACUACAUACAAAGUCUUGAAAAAAGAUUGAAGAGCUUAUCAAUCAAUACCAAGGCCUAGAAACCAGUUUUAUUUUCUUUAAAAUGAGAGACAGAGAAGUGAAUGUUAUUAAAAAGGCUACCGUAAAAAUAGUAUUUAUUGGCCUUUCCACUUACACAAUUUUAACAGCAGAAAUAAAACUUUAUUUGUAGAUGUUUUCACUUAUUAAAAAAAGUCUUAAAAAGUAGACCAUAGAAGUUCUUGGUUUCUUAUCAAUAUAAAGACAAGUUGGCUGUUGUUCAGUUUAUAAAAUAAAACAAAUUCUGUUCAUUAAUAAAGGCUGUCAAUCUAGAAAUUAAUCUUUUUCUUACAGGUAUGUGAUCUUCAAUAUUAUGGUGACUAUCUUUCCACCAACUGACUAUACGCCAAUCAUUUUCACUUCACUUCAAGGUUGCUACCAUAAACCAAAAAGCAAAUCCUAUAAAAUAUGCUUUUAAUUUGUUCGAAAUUGUAAUUUUUUUCUUUAGUUAGGAAAUAAGAAAGCAUUGUCACACACACAAUGUAUAAAGAAAAACAUAAUUCAAAAUUAUUCUGAAAACAAUUUGAAGACACAGAGAUUCUAAGAAUUAUUAUGAGUAGCUCUGUACAAAGAAAUCAUAGAAUUUGAGCAAAGUUACUCUGGCAUAAUUUGGAAGAAACUGAUAAAAUUGUCAUCAAUAUCACAGGGAGAAGUUCAACUCAGCUAGGGUAGAUAAAUCAUAUACUUUGAAAACAAGCUUAAAUACAGCCUAGCAUUAAAAAAAACAGGGAUAAACAAAAAUUAUAAAAAUGGAUCAUCCUAAAAAUAAGCACUGUAAAUAUAAAUGAUGUAAAAAAGCAAUAUCCAAAACUGUACACACAAAAAAAACUUAAAGCAGAGAUUCAGAAAGGUUAAAUAUUUAAAAAUGAGUCAAAAUAUAUCAGGUGAAAGCACAAAACAAAACAACAUGAUUUUCAAUCUUAAUAUUAGACAAGGUAUACUGAGACAUAUAAAAACACUUAAAAGACAGCAAGAGGCGCUUAUGAUACUAAAGAAUGCAACUCACAAUUAGGUUAUGUUAGUAAUGCUACUGCUUCAAAUAAAUCAGAAUCGGCUUUCAGAAGAAAAAAAGACUACAACAGCUCUAUUAAAAAAUGCUGCUUAUAGCUUACUCCCAAACAGAGCAACUGGGCAAAACUAUUUUAGAUAAGAAACACACAACACAUCAUCAAGAAGGUAGAUUGUAUAAAUAAAACACUCUGAACUAAAAUAGUAAAUAAUAUAACUUAUUUUCAAGUGCACAUGAAAAUCAACUAUAUUUUAGGCCCCAAAGUGCUCUUUAGUUAAUUCCAAAUAAUAGUGUUGGAAAAAUAAGCUAGAAAUUAACAAGAUUGCAGAGACUCUGUCACCUAAAACAUCGAAAACAUUAUUUUUAACAUGUAGGCCUAAGGGAAAAACGGAGUGGCAGCACUUAUUUAGAAGAAUGGUAACUAAAUAAUAUCAUAAUCUAUGAAAUAUAGCAAAUAAUUAUCAGAGGAAAAUACAUGGCAUAAAAUACUUAUAUCAACAGAAAGCAACAUCAACAAUAUAGUGAAUUAUGGCCAGGCACAGUGGGUCAUGCCUGUAAUCCUAGCACUUUGGGAGGCCAAGGUGGGUGGAUCACGAGGUCAGGAGUUCAAGACCAGCCUGGCCUACACGGUGAAACCCCAUCUCUACUACAGGCAGGCACCUGUAAUCCCAGUUACUCAGGAGGC